GAUGAACGCUGGCGGCGUGCCUAAUACAUGCAAGUCGAGCGAACAGAUGAGGAGCUUGCUCCUCUGACGUUAGCGGCGGACGGGUGAGUAACACGUGGAUAACCUACCUAUAAGACUGGGAUAACUUCGAGAAACCGGAGCUAAUACCGGAUAAUAUAUUUAACCGCAUGGUUCAAUAGUGAAAGACGGUUUUGCUGUCACUUAUAGAUGGAUCCGCGCCGCAUUAGCUAGUUGGUAAGGUAACGGCUUACCAAGGCAACGAUGCGUAGCCGACCUGAGAGGGUGAUCGGCCACACUGGAACUGAGACACGGUCCAGACUCCUACGGGAGGCAGCAGUAGGGAAUCUUCCGCAAUGGGCGAAAGCCUGACGGAGCAACGCCGCGUGAGUGAUGAAGGUCUUCGGAUCGUAAAACUCUGUUAUUAGGGAAGAACAAAUGUGUAAGUAACUAUGCACGUCUUGACGGUACCUAAUCAGAAAGCCACGGCUAACUACGUG
rnacentral:rRNA from 1 species